GUGCUGCCCUUUUAUGUCACAUAUCACACCCUAGGAAAUGCUGCUGUCAUUGUUUACAGAUGUGAGGAUGGUACAGUGUCCUUGGAUAUGCAGUCAAGCCUGAUGGCCUAGCCCUGUGAACAACCUGUACAUAAGAAGAUGACUUAAGUUCCAGUGCUGGCAUCUCCGGGCUCCAUCCUCCACUAUGCUGAUUGAGCAAGCUAUUUUCUCUUCCACUGGAAUGGGAGAGUUUUUGAGGCCUGCUAGAAUUAUGUCACUUUUGAUUUUUGGAAGUAUUUUGUGGAAGACUGCCAGGUUGUGUCUUGCCAGACACUGUAUCUUCAGUACUUGAAGAAGCACCAGUGUAAGUGUCUUGAACAACAGCUGAUACUGCAGAAGUAUUUUGUGGAAGACUGCCAGGUUGUGUCUUGCCAGACACUAUAUCUUCAGUACAUCAUGAAGAACAUCACCUGAUAAUCUUGUGAAUUUUUAACUUCUUAAGUAUUACUAAUUAAACAUUUUGCUUUUGAUAUUGGCAAGUCUAUCCAAAGGUUGCA